GUCCCAACCUUAAACGGUGUACAUUUGGUGUGGGAGAUUGACCCUCUCCGUGCCGGAGCUAACGCGUUAAAUGUACCGCCUGGGGAGUACGGUCGCAAGAUUAAAACUCAAAGAAAUUGACGGGGCCCGCACAAGCGGAGGAGCAUGUGGCUUAAUUCGAUGCAACGCGAAGAACCUUACCAGGGCUUGACAUGCAGCUGCACAUCCGCCGAAAAGUGGAUUCCUUCGAGGUGCUGCACAGGUGCUGCAUGGCUGUCGU
rnacentral:rRNA from 1 species